rnacentral:lncRNA from 1 species
ACAUUUAAUGCUUGUUCUUCUAUCAGUCAAUUAUAAAAUUGAAGAAUUUUUGCUUCCAUUUUGGUUGUAGCCCUUCUUCCUCCGUCUCAUUGUAGAUAUUCGAGCCUAUAAAUGUUAAAAGUCUUCGCUUCCAUUUCAACUUGAUGGCUUUUGUUGGUCCCUCGCUUGCUUGAUCCUUUGAGCCAUAUUUCUAUCGGUCGAGAAAAAAACAUAAAACACCAAAAUUAUUUUUGUUGCAUUGAGAUAACUUAUAUCAAUAGUAUAUUAAUUUAUCUCAAAUCAAAAAAUAUGUGUUGAUAUCACAAAAAAACACAAUUAUUGAAAAUCUUACUUAUGUCGAUCAAAAAUUAGAUCUCUAUUUCUCUAAACCCUAAUAUUAAACCAAAUAAAUAUUCUAUUGAAUUUUGAAAAAAUAUUGGAAAGGAAUAUUUCUCACGUAGAAAAGAUUUUCUAAUGAACAUACUUUAUUUUCAUUGUAGAACCCAAAUUUUGCCCGGGGCCCAUAAACCAUAAACCAAGAUAAAAAUAAUUAAUACUCCAUGACCCAAAACCCAAAUCUAUCCAACCCAAUUAUAGCCCAAAAAUUAAAACCCUAAAAGCCCAAUCAGCCCACAACCUUAACUAAUUUUCAGCAAACAAAAAAGAAAAAAAAAACUAGCCGCUCCUCCCUCUGUCCCCAAGAUUCAGUCGCCCCAUGCUACCUCUGCCCUUGGCCAUCACGUGCACCACCCACACCUGACACACCUGCAACAGAGACAAAAACAACAGCAAAAGAAAGCAUGCGAGGGAUGGGGGAAAGAAUAAACAAAAGAACGAAAACAAAAAAUAGGAAAUGAAUGUUUUAUAGAUCGGCUUUAAAAAGCCAAAAUCGAUCACAAAAAGGGGGGAUUUUUUUGAUAUUUCGAGGGGAGAAGGGAUUGUAUUUUAGGGGGAUUUUUAGAGAGGAAUCGAUUGUAUUUUGGGGGGAUAUAUAUAUAUUUCGGAGAUAAUACAAAGUUCAAGAGUAAAUCAAGAAUCGGAACUAAGUUUUGAAAGGUGAUUUUUCAUUUUUUUUUUGGAAUUUUCUCUUGAUUUGGAUUUCGUUUGUUCUGUUUCCUUUUCAAAUUUUUUUAAAACGGUUUUUUUUUUUAAAAAGAGAGGGAGAGAGGGGACUUACCGACGAACUAGCGACCUCGGCUCGCCGAUCUCCUAUGAGGGUGGCGCAGGCCCAAGAGAAAAUUUGGGAGCUUUCUCUCUGUUUUUCUUUAAGGAAAAUAAGAGAGGUGAUGGGGUAAUUUUUUUUAUUUUUUUUAAUUUUCAAAAAGGGGUGUUCAAUGUUUUAAAAAUAAAAAAAUAAAAAAGUAGGCUUCAUUUGUUUUUUUUCCCCUCAAAAGUAGAGCCCGGGGAAGGGGAAAAGCUGACCGUGCAUUCAAGGGAUGGAAAUGUGCACAUUUCUUUUAAAUGGGAAAUUUUCGCGAUUAGUCCCUGUCUUGGGUGCCUACGUUCAAUCAUGUCCUUUUUUUUGUUUUCUUUAAAUGCUUUCAAAUUACCCCGGAAAUUUGCGCCCAGACCCCUCCCUCCUUACCCACGUGUGCAUUUUGGUCCCCUUGUAUCCUUUUAUUCUGUUUUCACUCCAGAAUUUUAUUUUUUAAUUCAAUUAAGCCCUAUUUUGUUUAUUUUAGACACUUUUAUCACAAAUUUUUUUUUGGUAUUAUUAUUAAUCUAAUAUUACUAUUUUUUUACUAUCAUUUUUUAAAAUUAUUUUCCUAUUAUUUAUUAUACUAUUUUUUACACUAUUAUUUAUUAUACUUAUUAUAUCAUUUUCAUUAUUUCUUAUUUCUUUUCAUCUAAUUUAAUCAAUUGGAGUUAAGUUUCACAUUAUUAUAUUAUUUAUUUAUUUAUAUAUUUGAUAUAUGCUUCAUAUAUAUAUAUUUAAAAUAAAACUAAUUAUUUUAUGUACAAAUUGUCAUUAUAUGUAUCACAUUACUUGUUAUAUUAUUUUUGUUUUACUAAUAAUCAUUUUUUUUCUGUACUAUUUCUUUUUAUAUACAUAUUUUAUAAUAAUUUUAAAUAUAGUUUAUUAUACUUAUUAUAUUUUAUUUAUCAUGAAGACGAGACUUAAUAUUUGGCAAUUCGCAGAAUAGUGCCCUAACGUGUCGGGUUGCAAUUUCUCGUUUGCUCAAAAUAAUCGAAUAUUCCUUUAGGUUUUCACUCAUGUUUAUUAAAAACCUUUCAAUACAAAGGUUGUUCGAUGUUUGGCGAUUUGAGGAUCGUGCCCUAUCGUGUUGCGUUGCGCUUUGUCAUUUGUUCUAAACAAUCGAAGAUUCCUUCGAAAUUUCAUUCACGUUUUCUAAAAACCCUUUAAAAUGAAAGAAGUGUUCGAUGUUUGGCAGUUCGGGGAAUAGUGCCCUAUCGUGCUGGGCUGCAAUCUCCCGUUUGUCCAAAAUAAUUGAAUAUCUCUCCGGAAUUUCACUUGUAUUUUCCAAGGUGAGGCAAUCGUCAAUGUUUGGAAAUUCGAGGAAUCGUGCCCUACUGUGCUGGGUUUCGAUUUUUCGUUGGACUAAAUAGUUGAGCAUCCUUUUAUGAUUUUAUAAUUAUAAAUUUUCGGAUGUCGAAACAGGAAGAUUUUUGGUAACCAACUCAGGUUAUUCAAAUGUUAUUAAAAAAGAACCACAUUUCAAAAACAUUUCAAUUUUAGACAUAAGGACAAUAUUUAAUCGAUUUGGUACCAAUUUUGGGCGUAGUGAGGGUGCUAACCCUUCCUCAUACGUAACCGACUCCCGAGCCCGUUUUCUAAAAUUUUCGUAGACCGGAACCGUUGUUUUAGUAAACUAAAAAUGUUUUAUUAAAACAACCCAAAUUUUUAGGUGAUCCGAUCACACCUAAACAAGAAAAGAUUGGUGGCGACUCCAUUUUCACUUUCCAAAAAGUCGAUCCAUUAUUUUUAAAUCGAAAUGAAAAAAUGGUUUCGACAGCUUGGCGACUCCACUAGGGACGAAUGAGAGUCGAGCCAUAAAAAUCAAUUAUUUACUGUCCUUUUAUCGAAAAUCAAAAAUUUAUUUUAAAAAUCAUGUAUUUUUCGAUUGCAUUUGAUUGUGUGAUUGUCUUAGUGUGGGUCUUGUAAAAUAGCACUGUAUUUCAUUACAUGACCACUGUGGUCACACCUUCUAAGUGGGAGUAAGAAACUACGCUUUCGUGAGGUUUUCACCUCCGCAUGGGCUAGUGGAUUACUUCCGGGGUACAUCCGUACCUAUGAUUUUGUGAGAUUUUCAUCUCCGCAUGGUCAUAGGGAAAUGUAUCCCCCUGAACCGAACUUGAUCUAUAUGAGCCUAUAAUGGGUGAGGAUUGAGGAAUCUACUGGUUCGGGUACCUUAUCUCUAGAACUAAACCGUAUAUAGUGAACAUUAGGAACCAUCCUUGGGUGAAGCCACGUUGAGCCUUAGUACUUACCCGUAUAUGCGUCAUAGUUAUCGUUUAUGUGCUUGCAUUCUAUCGCUAUUAUUUGACACUAAUUGGUGUUUUGUUUUGUUUUGUCAUUUUUGCAAAACAUUACAUACUAAAGGAGGCGUUAAUUCGUAUUCAAUUACUAAGUUAGAAAAUUUGACAUGGAGAAUAAAUUUCUUAGUAAAGUCGAGGAUAAUGCGGCCGUUCGUGCAUGGUCGGAGAGGCUACGAUCAGAGAGAGGGGAUAGCUUGGCAGAAGGGUAUGUAUCAAAGCUACAAGAUUUCACUCGCGUCAAUGUAGUACAGAACGAGCUGCAAGGGUUGAGAGACAUUUGGGCUAGUUGGAAUGUAGGAAUCAAGCAAUUGUUUUACCAAAAUUAUGGUGACGUAUCCUACCUGCUAGAUAUUAGAGUGGAUAAGCAUUUGUUCCGAGCCUUGGUGCAGUUUUGGAAUUCUGCAUACAAAUGUUUCACUUUUGGAGAAGUGGAUUUGGUACCUACCAUGGAGGAAUACAUUACUUUGCUCAGGUGUCCCAAAAUUCAAGUCCGAAAGACUUAUGCUCGAGUUUUUAGUAGUCAGACUUUCGUGAAGAAACUGAUUAGCAUUUCUGGGAUGAGCGAGCCUUGGGUCACUGCUCGGAUUCAGCAAAAAGGAGAUAGCAAAUGUAUCCCUUGGGAGAAUUUGCGAGAUUUGAUCUUGACACAUCCAGAUGAAAGAAAGAGGGUUGAUAUAUUCACCUUAAGCAUCUACAGAUUAGUGAUCUUUCCUAAGGCUUUGAGGCACGUGGAUGAGGCGGUCAUUGACUUGUUUGAUCGCCUUGAAAAGGGAAUCACACCGGUACCAGCAAUAUUGGCAGAAACGUUUAGAUCUUUGAGCUCAUGUCGGAAAACAGGCGAGGGGCGAUUCAUUGGAUGUGCACAAUUAUUGAUGGCAUGGUUCCACGGGCACUUUUGGAAGGUAGAUAAAGUUUCCUAUCGAGUCUUCUCCGAGGAUUAUUCCCUAUUGAAAGAAGAGGCAACUAUACAGAGGAGAGAGGAUAUCUUAGAGGAGAAGUGGAUGGACAUUCUUCAGAACCUCAAGGAGGGGGAUAUCAAGUGGAGAGCUUAUUAGAUGGUUCCUGACGAGAUCAUGUACCGAUGUGGUAGCUUUGAUUGGGUGCCAUUGUUAGGAAUUUAGGAAGCUACUGGGUAUACUCCGCUGUUAGCCUUGAGGCAAUAUAAGUCAAGGCAGUUUGUACCCACGACCUAUGGGCUUGCUCAGAGUGAAUUCUCAUUUAAAGGUGCUCAUUAUAAGAAGAGAGUUCGGGAGUUAUCGGAUGCUUGGAAGCAAACUUGUUGGAUGAAGAGGUUAGCCAUCGGUUCCAUGGUAACGCCCGAGUAUAACAAGUGGUUUAAGAAGAGGAUUAAUGAUAAUAUUCCUAGGCCAAGCUUGGAGAAUGCUCAACCUAUCGAGGAACAAUUACAAGUUGCCUCAUCAGAAUUGGAAAUUAUAAGGCAAGAUUUCGAGAGGAAGAGUUCGGAGCUCGGGAAGAAGAUCGAACAGUUAGAAGAAGAGAAGAUGCAUCUAAGGUUAGACGCUGAUGUUCAGAGGUCAGAGGCUGAGAAAUGGAGAAAAGGAAAAACUAAGGCCGAAGAAGACCUAAAUAGCUUGAAGACAGACUACAAGAAGCUGCGCCUAUCUAUGAGGACUGCGGAUUUAGGUAAGACUUUUGAACAAUGGCGCCAUGAAAUUCGAGAAGAAAAAGCCAAUACCGAUCGGUGGGAAAGAAAAUUUCGAGAAGCUCAAGCACGAAACGAAGAUUUGGAGAAGAGUCUGUCAAAGAGAAGAAACGAGCGAGGUGAACUAAGGGCUAGAGUGGCAGAACUCGAGAAGUCUCUGCAUCAAUACUGAAACUGCAACACCGCAAUAGAGCUGAGGGCAAGCUUGAGCCAGAUAGAAGAGAUGAAAGGAAGAAUAGGAGAGUUAGAGGCAUCACUGCAGAACUGUGAGAUGCGGAUCCAGUUUUUCGAGGCAAACGAGGAUCGUUGGAAAGAGCAGCUUCACCAUGCAUAAGACCAAGCUAGAAACAGAGAUUACCUUAUGGGGGAAGCCAUAACCCAAAUUCGGGAGAUAGCAGACUACUUGCAAACUUUAGCGGUUCAAGAGGACAUACUGAGCGUGAAGUAUGAGUUGGAGUCGGAUCGCGAACAAGAGCUGGCCUCGUUGCUUAGAAAAAUCAAGACACUAAGUGUUAGAGCGAAAUUUUAUUUGUAAUUCGACUUUAUGUAAAAGAUUUUAUUUUCGAGUGAAAUUUUCUAAGGGAAAUUGAAUCAAAAUUGAUGCCUCCUUUACAUUCAUGCAUUUGCAUUACAUCAUAUCAUUAUGCAUUAAAGGCCAUAAGAGUUUUCUAAUUAAUUAAUUAAAAAUUAUUUCAGUAACCUGGAAACUAACGAAAACCAACCAACCACGCAUCCCUACUAUACGAGAAAAAAAAUCAAUAGAUAAGAGACUCGAGAAAUUAGAGCAAAUGCAAAAUGACAUGCAAGAAUAAAUGCAGUCCCAGAUGGAAGAGCAGCUAGCCAAAAUUCAACGAGAGAUGAAGGAGCAAAUGAUGGAGUCUCAAAGAGAGAUGAUGGCCCAGUUAUCCAAAUUACUGCUGGGAGGAAUGGAUAAGGGAGAGGGAGAUAUAUGGACCAAGUUGAGGAAACCAAUGAAGAUCUCCAAUACCCCCUGGCUUUACUCCGAUGCAUAUACUGAUGAAGCCCGAGAUUAACCUACAAAAACCAUCUGUCACAAUCAUGCCCCAGCAAGUUCAGCCCGGAGCUUCAAUUUCGAUAAACUUCCAAGCCGGUUCAGGCUCUAACUUUGUCAACAACCCGAACUAUCCGCCUGUUCCCGACUUGGAUGAAGCUGCUGAAGAGGAAAAGGUGAGGAUGGAUUCGCAAAAACAAUUGGAAGAACGUUGUAGAUAGCUCGAGGAAAAAUUCAAAGCCAUGGAGAGCGCGGAUCAUCAUCAAGGGAUUGAUGCCAAAGAUUUGAGUCUGGUCCCAGAUUUAGUCCUCCCCUCUAAAUUCAAAAUGCCUGAAUUCGAGAAAUACAAUGGAACAAGUUGCCCUGAAGCCCACAUCACCAUGUUCUGCAGGCGAAUGACGGGAUAUGUUAACAAUAACCAGCUACUAAUCCACUGCUUUUAAGAUAGUCUGGUUGGAGCGACGUCUAAGUGGUAUAAUCAACUGAGUCGAGCCAAGAUUAACUCAUGAAAGGACCUGGCUCAGGCCUUUAUGAAGCAAGACAAUCAUGUGACGGACAUGACCCCUGACAGAAUCACUCUCCAGAAUAUGGAAAAAAAAGUCAAAUGAAAGCUUCAGACAGUAUGCACAAAGGUGGAGAGAGGUGGCCAUACAAGUUCAGCCACCACUUCUAGAAAAGGAGACGACAAUGCUCUUUAUCAACACCUUGAAAGCCCCUUUUAUCACCCAUAUGUUAGGAAGCGCCAUAAAAAGCUUUUCCGACAUAGUGAUGACGGGGGAAAUGAUCGAGAAUGCUGUGAGGAGCAGCAAAAUAGAGUCGGGAGAGAGUGCCAGAAAGUCAGCCCCAAGGAAAAGGGACAAUGAAGUGAACAACACGAGCAAAUUCAACAAGGGGCAGUCCAAGUCAAUUACCGUGAAUCAACCCAAAAUAGUGACUACCAAUCAACAAAGCUCUGUAAGACAAGAAUCCAAUUCGAGGAAGAAUACAGAAAGGCCACAAUUCACCCCUAUACCCAUGACAUAUAGGGAGUUGUACCAGAACCUGUUCAACGCUCAUGUAGUAUCCCCUUUCUACCCAGAGCCACUGCAGCCCCCGUAUCCCAAAUGGUAUGACACAAACGCCCAAUGUGAAUACCACGCGGGAAUUACCGGGCACUCAAUCGAGAAUUGUACUGCGUUCAAGAAAGUAGCCGAAAGACUCAUUAAGGUGAGGAUUGUGAGAUUUGACGACCCAGCCACGCCCAAUGUAGCAGGAAACCCACUCCCCAAUCAUACCGACCAAGGAGUGAAAGGGAUAAGUGAAGGCUUGAAUAAGAAGACCAAGUAUGAAGUGGCAGAAGUCAGGACCCCAUUGAGGCGGGUAUGGAAGGAGAUGGCCAAGAGAGAAUUGAUCGUGUUGGAUUCGAGGGAAGAAUACGAAGAAGAGAGAAACUACUGUGUGUUUCACGAUAAUGUGGGGCAUGAAAUUCAAGAUUGCAUGGAGUUCAAAGCCCUAGUACAAAACAUGAUGAACAAUAAAGAAAUUGAAUUCUAUGAAGAGACUGAAAACCCUGUAGAGGGAGAUAUAUGUACAUCAGAAGGAGAAUCGAUGGCACAAAAUCGAACGCCUAAUUAUCCCAUGGUGAUCAUUUCGAGACCCAAAAAUAAUGAAAUUGGAGUACAAAUGCCACCGAGGAUCAUAAUCCAAAGACCUGUAGUCUUCCCUUACAAAGACAGUAAAAAGGUCCCAUCGAAUUAUGAUUGCAGUGUGACGAUACCGGGAAAGGAGAGCCCAGUUGACACUUCAAGAGGGGACCAAGACAAGGGUUCCUAUACACGUAGCGGGAGGCGUUACGACACAGCAAAUGAAGAGGUGCAGCCCACAAAAGGAAAAGCCCAGGUGUUUGAGGAAAUGAAGGGAAAAGCAACCAAACCAUUAAUGAGCCAGUUAACGAAGAGGAGGCCAAGGAGUUUUUAAAAUUCCUAAAGCAUAGUGAAUACAGUGUGGUGGAAUAGCUACGUAAACAACCAGCCCGUAUUUCGGUGUUGGCCUUACUUCUAAGCUCGGAAGUUCAUCGUAGCGCACUAAUGAAGGUCUUAAACGAGACAUACGUUGCCAAUGACAUCUUCGUUAACAAACUAGACCGUUUGGUGAACAACAUAAGUGCCGACAAUUAUAUCUUCUUUAAUGACGACGAGAUACCACCCGGGGGCAUGGGGUUGAGUAAAGCUCUACAUAUCACCACGCGCUGUAAAGGGUAUACGCUGCCAGGCGUACUGAUUGACAAUGGGUCGGCUUUGAACGUCUUGCCUUUGACCAUGCUGAAUAGAUUACCUAUAGACAGCUCUCACAUGAAGGAAUGCCAGAACAUCGUAAAGGCAUUUGAUGGCACGAAGAGAAAGGUGAUGGGCAGAAUCGAGGUACCUCUUCAAAUUGGGCCAAACACAUAUGAGGUGGAUUUCCUCGUAAUGGACAUCAAGCCCUCAUACAAUUGCUUGUUGGGAAGGCCCUGGAUACAUUCGGCUGGGGUAGUGCCUUCCUCAUUGCAUCAGAAAUUGAAGCUAAUAUCGGAAAGGAGAUUGAUAACGAUCAAGGCUGAGGAGGAUAUUAUUGCAACUGUGAGCAAUAAUGUACCCUAUUUGGAGACAGAUGACGAAGCAAUCGAAUGCUCAUUUCGAUCUUUGGAAUUUGUUAAUGCGACCAUCAUCGCCGAGGGAAGCAAAAUUCUGGUGCCAAAAUUGUCAAAAACCACGAGGAUAAGCCUCCAGCUGACGAUUGGAAGAGGGGCCCUGUAACACCCCAAACUCGGCCCAGAAGUUAUGGCCGGAUCCGGCAUACCACAUCAAAAACGUAAAAAAAAUUUCCAUUCUAAGUCCAGAAAAUCGUACUUGAUGUUCAAAAGAUUAAUUCAUUAAGGGUUAAAGUGAAUGGAAGCUGUGCACCAGGUAGGAAACCAAAAAAGAGGUGGUGAGUCCAUCGGACUGCUUAAGUACCAAGCUCCCUUUGGAUCCAAUCCUAGACAUGCAUACCGCCAUUGCCACACCUUAACAUCAUGGAUAGUUCUAGGAAACCGAUUCGAUUAAGUCAUUUUUAGGAAAAGUGAUUAAUUUUGGAAAAUACUUUCAUUGCGGAAGCUUUGCUUGUUGUCGUGUUAUUUUGAAAUCAACUGUUGUUUUUGAAAACGCGCCCUAAAGCUAUCCAAUUUCAACAGUUAAAAUAAGUAUUACCUAUCUUAGUAAUACAUAUUAAAAACCAUCAAAAAUAAAUAAGCGGCCUUAUUACAUUUAAAAGCCCAAAACCUCAAACGUAAUUAAAAGGAUGUCCAGUUCACCAGAAGAAAAUCAAACUUUAUCGCCACUCCGAAUUCCCUCACACCUCCAAGCCCACUAUGGUUGGGGAUUUCCUGCGUGGAUGAAAAUAAAAGGGGUGAGUUUGGGGAAACUCAGUGUGUAAGGAAAACCCAUUCAAAGCCCAAGUCAGCUCAAGCCUAUUGGGCCUAAGCCCAUUCAGGUAACAGUGGUACUGGGCCAGAGCCCUUUUCAGAUUACAAUAAACUGGGCCUUAGCCCCUUAUUCAGAUAACAGUAUGGCCCAUAGGCCCAUUUCAAAAUACAUGCAACAUCAGUAAACAUAUGCAAGCCCAUUUGGGGAGACUACUCAACCCACCAACCACUACACUCCACCCGUACCAGCCAUACACUCCAUGUGGGGAAUAGCUCAACCCACCCAGCCCAACACUCCACAGUUGCAGCCUUGCUGCUCAAUUAACAGUAAAUUGAGGCAAAGCCUCCAGUACGUGGACAAGUCACUUUCAAUACUUCCUCCGUCAAUAUCCCAGUCCCAUGCAUCAGAUAAUAACAUGGCAUGCAGUAAAUAACAACAGUCAAACAUGCAUUUAGGUCAAUUUAACCCUAGAGGUAUUUCGGUAAUUUAUCUCUUAGGGGUAAAACUAUAAAUUUUCCACUUUUAAAGGUAUUUUAGUAAUUUAUCUAUUUUAGGGUUUUUCAUGCAUAUUCCUACCUUUCACGUACUAACAGAAUCACGUACCGAGGGUUCUUACCGAAUUGGGCCCGUUGGCCCAUCAUUCCAAUUUUGGCCCAUUAAGCCCAAAAAUAUCGAGGGCACAGAAAUCAUGCACUUUGUAGUCCAAACAUUGCAGCUUACCAAAAACAUUAAUCGAUUUACCUCACGAGCAUUCGCACACUCGCAAAUCUACAAAAUACCAGUUUUCGGCAUUUCGGCUUUUCGGCUUUUGCCGAUCUAGACUAAGAAAGAGGGUGUUAGUUACACACCUGUUCACGACGAUAUGCUGACGAGAUCCACACACGAACCGCCUACAAUUGGAUUACUAACACGUUAAUCUAACUAUUCAAAUACGAACUAUGUAUUAACCCCUUAUAAUAUUCUGCCAACCACACCUACAGAUCAUAGUAAGCUUAUAAGAAAUCAAUAAGCAACUCAUUAACAAAUUUUUGUCAAUGUUUACCACAUAAUCAUAAUUUCACUGCAAGCUGUCUUCCUGAGCAACAGUCACUAAAUCAUUUAUAACUGGAGCUACGAAACUCCAAAUAAAGUUCCGUUAAUUUUACCUGAAAAUAUACUCAUAUAUCUUCUAUCCAUAAAAUUUUCAGAAUUUUUGGUUUAUCCAAUCAAUACCAGAUUUUUCUCAAAGUUUCCCAUGUUUCACUGUUUGACUAAUCUGACCACUCUUCAUUAUGAAUCAAAUUUCUCAUUGUACAGAAUUCAAAAUAUGUUAUUGUUUAUUUCAUUAGAAACUAGACUCAAUAAGAUUUAAUUACAUAAUUUAUUCAGCUUCUAAUUCAUCUCCCACAAUUUAUGGUGAUUUUUCAAAGUCACAUUACUGCUGCUAUCCCAAGCAGAUUUAUUACCAAAUCACUCUUUCACACAUACCUUGCAUGCAUGUUAUUUAAACAUGUAUAACACCAAUCAAUCAUCACAUAUCUAUGAUUUUACUUAAGUAUAAUCUCCAUUUAAUCAUUUUAAAGCACAACAUGUUAGCCGAUUUUUCCCUUUAGCAUCUAAGGCACAUGCAUGCUCAUUUGUUUGGCUCAACUUCACCUAUCUUCCAUUUUUCAUCAAAAGAACAUGAAACAACAACCAUUUCCUUCAUUUUAAUUCAUAACAAAAUGCUCACAACACAACUAAAAACCAAAAUAUGCUUCAAGAGUUAAGGUAGAAUCAAGAAGAACUCAUGAACCUCAAAAUAGAAGCAUGGUACCAAGAACUUACCUUUAAUUUUCCUCCUCCUAAUGACCGAAUACUCAAGAGCUUUCUCCUCUCCUUUCUCUUCUCUAACUUUCAGCUAUGAUGAACAAAGAUGGACAAAACUUUGUUCUUUUCACCCCUUUUUUUUAAUAAAACUUCAUAUUUCAUCCAUUUAAUUCUUUAAUACAAAAGACAUGAAAUUCUUUUCAUGAAACAUUUACCUAACCCAUUAUCAUGGAACAUUUACCUAACCUAUUAUCAAUUUGUAUCAAUUUGUACCAUAAAUUAUGGAUAUCAAGUGCACAUUUUGUCUACAACAACAUGAUGGCUGGCCACUUCAUGUAAAAUGGGAGGUUUGUCAUGCAAAUCCUCCUAUUUUGCACUCCUAUUUAUUUGGUCACUUCAAUUUAGCCUAUAGCAUUUUCAAACAUUUUCACAUAAGUUCUAUUUCAUAAUUUCACCCCCUUUUUGUUAUGGAACAAAAAUUAACUAAAAUUGUCGGGUUCUAUCUUAAGUUUGGGCUUUCUAGAGGCCCACUAACAUAAUUAAACCUAUGCCAACAUUCACAGGAUUCCCGAAAAUUGGGGCGUUACAGGCCCUACCCGGAAGGGGACUUGGGAGACAUCUGCAAGGAAGGGUUGAAACGCCAAUACCGAAUGACAAGAGAGACCGCUUCGGUUUAGGAUUUAAGCCGAAUGCGAAACAAAGGAGAAGGGAGCUGGAAAAGAAGCAAGAAAGAAGAAGAGCUCGAUUAACGGAGGAGGAAAUCAAGUGGGAACCAAUGACAUUCCCCCAUAUAUCGAAAACAUUUGUGUCCGGGGGAAUCAUUCAUCCCGAGAGAGACACACCAAUUACGAGAGCUAUAGAAGAAAGGCUGGAAAGCUUGGACAUCAACGUCAUAUGCGAAGAGGAGACUGGAAGAGAGAAUUUGUCGGGCAUUUACCUCUGCACGCUUGGAAGUGUUCUGGACAACUGGACUGCGGAAGAGAUUCCUGUAGUUUUUAGAACGGAUUCAGAGUAAUGUCCAAAACACACUUAUUGCUCUAGGCCUAGGAGUAAUAAGAAUCUUUUGUGAAAUAGGCCGAUGUUUAAAAAUGACAUUUCAGUAAAAUGCACGGUUAUUAUCAAUUUUGAGCAAAUGUUUUCUCGUCCUUUCAAUUCCAUUCAUAACCAUACAAAUGAUUACUUUUGAAUUCUUUUAUUCUUGAAACAUUCUUUUAAAUAUUCUUUCAUUCGUCAUUCAUGAUCAUAUCACGCAAAUAAAUAUUUCGAAUUCUUUUGAUUCUUUGUAUCUGCCUUCAUCCUCAUAACAGGUCCCCAGAUAUUAAUGAUACGAGUGACACUGCUAGCGACUCAGAAUUUCCUUUCGAGCAAGAUAUGUGUAUGGAUGAUUCUCAGGAUUUUGAAGAGGACCAAGGCUGUAACCUAUCUCCUGAUUUGUUGAGGAUGGUAGAACAAGACGAGAAACAAAUCCUACCUCACAAAGAAUCAGUCGAAAUUGUGAGCUUAGGAGAAGGACAAGAGGUGAAGAUCGGAACAUGUAUCACUGCGGAGAUGAAGCGAGACCUCAUUGAAUUACUUCAAGAAUUCAAAGAUGUCUUCGUAUGGUCAUACCAAGAUAUGCCCGGGUUGGACACUGACAUCGUGGUUCACCGACUCCCCAUAAAAGAAGAGUGUAAGCCUGUUCAGCAAAAACUCCGAAGAAUGAGGCCUGAUGUCUUGUUAAAAAUAAAGGCAGAAGUUCGAAAACAGUUUGACGCUGGAUUCCUGAAUGUGGUAAAAUACUCAGAUUGGGUAGCCAACAUCGUCCCUGUCCCUAAGAAAGAUGGAAAAGUGUGAAUGUGUGUGGACUACAGAGAUUUGAAUAAAGCCAGCCCAAAAGACAAUUUCCCACUACCUCAUAUCGACACCCUAGUGGACAACACGGCGGGACACUCACUGUUUUCAUUCAUGGACGGUUUUUCAGGAUAUAACCAGAUUAAGAUGCAUCCUGAAGAUAUGGAGAAAACCAUAUUUGUAACUAUGUCGGGCACGUUCUGCUACAAGGUGAUGCCGUUUGGACUGAAGAAUGCGGGGGAAACUUAUCAAAGAGCCAUGGUAACCCUUUUUCACGACAUGAUGCAUAAAGAAAUCGAGGUCUAUGUUGAUGACAUGAUAAGCCUCGAACAGAGAAGGAGCACAUACAAGUCCUGGGAAAAUUAUUUUUGAGGUUGAGGAAGUUUCAGCUAAAACUCAACCCCGCCAAAUGUACCUUUGGAGCCAAGUCUAGAAAGUUGCUCGGAUUCGUGGUUAGUGAGAAAGGGAUCAAGAUUGAUCCAGACAAAGUUAAAGCCAUACAAGAGCUAUCCCCGCCGCACACUCAGAAAGAAGUUCGAGGCUUUCUAGGAAGAUUAAAUUACAUUGCUCGGUUCAUUUCACAACUGACCGAGAAAUGUGACCCUGUCUUUCGCCUCCUCAAGAAACAUAACCCAGGUGAAUGGGAUAAAGAAUGCCAAAGGGCUUUUGACAAGGUCAAACAGUAUUUAUCCAAUGCCCCGGUGUUGAUGCCACCUAACCCCGAUAAGCCGUUGAUACUGUAUUUGACAGUAUUCGAGAACUCCAUGGGAUGCGUAUUGGGUCAGCAUGACGAGUCGGGGAGGAAAGAAAAAGCUAUUUACUAUCUCAGUAAAAAGUUCACGGAAUGUGAGGCAAGGUACCCACCGAUAGAGAAGUUGUGUUGUGCCCUAAUUUGGACAGCCCGAAGACUGAGGCAAUAUAUGUUAUAUCACACCACUUGGCUUAUCUCAAAAUUGGACCCCUUGAAGUACAUGAUGGAGUCAACAACUUUGAAUGGAAGGAUGGCCCGAUGGCAGAUUCUACUUUCUGAAUUCGACAUAGUCUAUGUGAACCAGAAAGCAGUAAAAGGAAGUGCAAUAGCAGAUUUUCUGGCCAGUAGAGCUUUGGAAGACUACGAGCCUUUGAACUUCGACUUCCCGAAUGAAGACCUAAUGUGUGUUGCUACCACUAAAAAAGGUGCUCUCGAAGAACUUCCUUGGAAAUUGAAUUUCGAUGGGGUGUCAAACGCUGUGGGCAAUGGAAUCGGGGCCGUCUUAGUGUCCCCAAAUGGAGAUCAUUAUCCAUUCACUAGUAAAUUGGAUUUUGAUUGUACAAAUAAUAUGGCAGAAUACGAGGCGUGCAUCAUGGGAGUCCAUGCAGCCAUAGAACGCAAGAUUAAGGCGCUAGAGGUGUAUGGGGAUUCCGUGCUAGUGAUUUAUCAACUCAAGGGAGAAUGGAUGACUAGAGAUCCCAAGUUGAUCGACUAUCGAAAACUAGUCCUUGAAUUGGUUAAAGAGUUUGAUGACAUUACCUUCCACUACCUUCCACGAGACGAAAAUCAGAUGGCUGAUGCUUUGGCUACCUUAGCUUCCAUGAUCAAGGUGAACAAAUAAGAAGAUGUCAAACCCAUCCGGAUGAGCAUUUAUAAAAUUCUGGCCCACUGUUACAAUAUUGAAGAAAAUAAAGAGAGAGAUGAUCACCCUUGGUAUCAUGAUAUAUUGCAAUAUUUGAAGAAUCGUGAAUACCCAAACCAGGCAAGCGAGAAUGACAAAAAAACUCUAAGAAGGCUGGCUAUCGACUAUGUCUUAGAUGGGGAUAUAUUAUACAAAAGAAGAAAAGAUCAAGUGCUACUAAGAUGUGUAGACGUCGUAGAAGCUAAGAAAAUCUUGGAAGAAGUCCAUGAAGGCGUCUGUGGGACGCAUGCUAAUGGCUUUACAAUGGCCAGGAAAAUUAUGAGAUUCGGGUACUAUUGGUCCACCAUGGAAGGAGACUGUGUCAAUUACGCCAAGAGAUGUCAUAACUGCCAAAUCUAUGGGGACAAAAUUCAUGUGCCUCCUUCAUCGCUGCAUGUCAUGGUUGCUCCAUGGCCAUUCUCGAUGUGGGGCAUGGAUGUGAUUGGACCAAUAUCGUCGAAAGCUUCCAAUGGGCAUCGAUUCAUCUUUGUGGUUAGUGACUACUUCACCAAAUGGGUAGAAGCCGCUUCGUAUGCUAGUGUGACAAAGUCAGCAGUAAGCAAGUUUCUGAAAAAGGAGAUCAUAUAUCGAUAUGGAAUGCCGGAGAGGAUUAUAUCUGACAAUGCAUUAAACUUGAACAAUAGUACAAUAGCGGAAGUCUGCAGUCAAUUCAAGAUUAGACAUCACAGCUCGUCACCAUAUCACCCAAAGAUGAAUGGGGCAGUGGAAGCGGCUAAUAAAAACAUUAAGAAAAUUGUGGGGAAGAUGACCGAAACCUACAGAGACUGGCAUGAGAAGUUACCAUUUGCCCUCUUUGCUUAUCGAACGUCAGUCAAAACCUCAACUGGGGCAACCCCUUUCUCCUUGGUCUACGGAAUGGAAGCAGUGUUGCCAAUCGAAGUUGAAAUCCCGUCUCUUCGAGUGUUGUCAGAGUUAAAGUUAGAGGAAGCAGAAUGGAUCCAGUCUCGAUACGAUCAAUUGAACUUGAUUAAGGAAAAGAGGCUAAGAGCUAUCCGUCAUGGUCAGAUGUACCAAAAAUGAAUGAUGCGGUCUUAUGACAAAAAGGUUCGCCCUAAAGAAUUCCACAAGGGAGACCUAGUUUUGAAAAAAUCCUUCCCAUACAGAAAGAUUUUCGAGGAAAAUGGAUGCCUAAUUGGGAGGGGCCUUACGUGGUGAAGAAAGCUUUCUCCGGAGGAGCAUUGAUUCUAGCCGAGAUGGAUGGCAAAAACUUUUCCAAUCCUAUAAAUUCAAAUUCUAUCAAGAAGUAUUUCACUUAAAGAAGAAGAGGUCAAGGUGAAAACCCGCAAAUGGCGCUUUAAAAAAAACCAAAAAAUUUUGGAGAGGCCAAGGUGAAAACCCGCAAAGGGCACUUUGAGACCAAAGGGUUUUUGAGUUGAAAACCCGUAAACGGGUAGCUCAAAUUUCAAAUGUGGGAUAUAUGGUAGUCUUGCCCUCCCAAAAUCAAUAAGAGGGAGGAGCAGUACACCUUGGGACAUCAACAAAAUGCGCUUGAUCUCUGAAACACACAUUUAGCUUGAAGGAGCCUUUGAGAAAUUAAAAUAGUGAAGCUCGUGCUGCGAUAUCUGGGGCACCUUUUUCCUCAUUUUAUUUUGAGCCUUACCAGUGCAGUGGAAUCGGUGAAUUCACAAGUCUUAACCCCCUAAGCAGUGGGGCAACAAGCUGAAAAUUAUAGAUCUUGUUUCCCCGAGAUUGUAGUGGAUCAGAUCGAAGACGGCGAAUCUAGGUUUCCUGAUGUUGCAGCGAAGCAGAUUUAAACCACCAUCCUAGCUCCCUAAAGUUGUAGUGGAGUAGGCUGAAGAUUGUAGAUCUUGUUUCCCUGAGAUUGCAGUGGAGCAGAUCGAAGACAGCGAAUCUAGGCUUCCUGAUGUUGCAGUGAAGCAGAUUUAAGCCACCAUCCUAGCUCCCUAAAGUUGUAGUGGAGUAGGUUGAAGAUUGUAGAUCUUGUUUCCCUGAGAUUGCAGUGGAGCAGAUCGAAGACAACAGAUCUAGGCUUCUUGAUAUUGUAGUGAAGCAGAUUUAAGCCACCAUCCUAGCUCCCUAAAGUUGUAGUGGAGUAGGUUGAAGAUUGUAGAUCUUGUUUCCUUGAGAUUGUAGUGGAGCAAAUCGAAGACGGCAGAUCUAGGUUUCCUGAUAUUGCAGCGAAGUAGAUUUAAGUCACCACCCUAGCUCCCUAAAGUUGUAGUGGAGUAGACCCAAGAUUGUAGACUUCGUCUCCAAUGGAGCAGAUCAAAGAAAACAAGCCUCAACACCCUAAGUAGUAGGGCAAUAGGCCGAAGAUUACAAGAUCUCGUCUCCCUGAAGUUGCAGUGGAGCAAGAUCAAAAUCAUGAUCCUUGUCUCUUUGAUGUUGCAGUAGAGCAGGAUAAAAAAACACGUGAACCAUAUCUCCCUGAAGUUGCAGUAAAGCAGGUCGAAGUUACAAGUCUUAUCUCCCUGAAGUUGCAGUGGAGCAAACUGAAGAUAGCAAAUCUUAUUUCCCUGAAGUUGCAGUGGAACAGAUUGAAGCUAAAUUACAGAUCUUAUCUCUCUGAAGUUGCAGUAGAGUAAGUCGAAGUUACAAGUCUUAUCUCCCUGAAGUUGCAGUGGAGCAGACUGAAGAUAGCAAAUCUUAUUUCCCUGAAGUUGCAGUGGAACAGAUUAAAGCUAAAUUACAGAUCUUAUCUCUCUGAAGUUGCAAUAGAGCAGGUCGAAGUUACAAGUCUUAUCUCCCUGAAGUUGCAGUAGAAUAGACUGAAGAUAGCAAAUCUUAUUUCCCUGAAAUUGCAGUGGAACAGAUUAAAGCUAAAAUUACAGAUCUUAUCUCUCUGAAGUUGCAGUAGAGUAGGUCGAAGUUACAAGUCUUAUCUCCCUGAAGUUGCAGUGGAGCAGACUGAAGAUAGCAAAUCUUAUUUCCCUGAAGUUGCAGUAGAACAGAUUGAAGCUAAAUUACAGAUCUUAUCUCUCUGAAGUUGCAAUAGAGCAGGUCGAAGUUACAAGUCUUAUCUCCCUGAAGUUGCAAUAGAGGAGACUGAAGAUAGCAAAUCUUAUUUCCCUGAAGUUGCAGUGGAACAGAUUAAAGCUAAAAUUACAGAUUUUAUCUAUCUAAAGUUGCAGUAGAGUAGGUCGAAGUUACAAGUCUUAUCUCCCUGAAGUUGCAAUGGAGCAGACUGAAGAUAGCAAAUCUUAUUUCCCUGAAGUUGAAGUGGAACAGAUUGAAGCUAAAUUACAAAUCUUAUCUCUCUGAAGUUGCAGUAGAGCAGAUCAAAACAGAUCUUGUCUCUCUGAUGUUGUAGUGGAACAGAUUGAAGACGGUAAAUCUUGCCUUCCUGAAGUUGCACUGAAGCAGAUUCAAGCCACCAAGCCUUAAUCACUUAAGCAGUAGGGUAAUAGGCUGAAAAUUACAAAUCUUGCCUUCCUGAAGUUGUAGUGAAGCAGAUUCAAGCCACCAAGCCUUAACCCUAUAAGCAAUAGGGUAAUAGGCUAAAAAUCAUUAGUCUUAUCUCCCUGAAAUUGCAGUGGAGCAGACUGAAGACAACAGAUCUUGUCUCCUUGAAGUUACAAUGGAGCAAGUCAAGCUACAAUUAUAGAAGAACAUAUUAAAGCCACAAACCUCAUCUCCCUAAAGUUGCAGUGGAAUAGGUUAAAAGCCACAGCAGAUCUCCUUGAAGUUUCAACGGAAGAAGAUCAAAUUACAGAUAUUAUCUCUCUGAAGUUGCAGUAGAGUAGGUCGAAGUUACAAGUCUUAUCUCCCUGAAGUUGUAGAGGAGUAGACUAAUGAUAGCAAAUCUUGUUUCCCUGAAGUUGCAGUGGAAUAUAUUAAAGCUAAAUUACGGAUCUUAUCUCUCUAAAGUUACAGUAGAGUAGAUUAAAACAGAUUUGGCGUCUCUGUGUUGGUAGAGAGCAGAUCGAAAAUAGCAGAUUUGGCAUCCCUGUUCUUAUAGGGAACAGAUCGAAGAUAACGGAUUUGGCGUCUCUGUAUUGACAGAGAGCAGAUCAAAGAUAGCAAAUAUCGCCUUCGUAAGUUGCAGUGAAGCAGAUUGAAGCUGUCAAGAGGCCAUUUAAAGAAGAUCAAGGAUCAAGAACUCAAGACUCGGUGAGUCCGGGCAAAAUUGGUCCUUUUAUAGUCUUUGCUCUAUUCCUGUUAACACAGUAAUGAGCAAAGAGGGGCAGCUGUAGAACCCAAAUUUUGCCCGGGGCCCAUAAACCAUAAACCAAGAUAAAAAUAAUUAAUAGUCCAUGACCCAAAACCCAAAUCUAUCCAACCCAAUUACAGCCCAAAAAUUAAAACCCUAAAAGCCCAAUCAGCCCACAACCUUAACUAAUUUUCAGCAAACAAAAAAGAAAAAAAAACUAGCCACUCCUCCCUCUGUCCCCAAGAUUCAGUCGCCCCAUGCUACCUCUGCCCUUGGCCAUCACGUGCACCACCCACACCUGACACACCUGCAAUAAAGACAAAAACAAUAGCAAAAGAAAGCAUGCGAGGGAUGGGGGAAGAAUAAACAAAAGAACAAAAACAAAAAAUAGGAAAUGAAUGUUUUAUAGAUCGGCUUUAAAAAGCCAAAAUCGAUCACAAAAGGGGGGAUUUUUUUGAUAUUUCGAGGGGAGAAUGGAUUGUAUUUUAGGGGGGAUUUUUAGAGAGGAAUCGAUUGUAUUUUGGGGGGAUAUAUAUAUAUUUCGGAGAUAAUACAAAGUUCAAGAGUAAAUCAAGAAUCAGAACUAAGUUUUGAAAGGUGAUUUUUCAUUUUUUUUUGGAAUUUUCUCUUGAUUUGGAUUUCGUUUGUUCUGUUUCCUUUUCA